AUGUGAAGCUUUUCUCCCCAACAAUGGACGAUAGAAUCUGACUUUGUUUUUAAAUGGAAGCUGAGUCUCACGUAAACAUCUGACUCCAGGAACUGAGGAUUUUAAAAAGCACCAAAUAUCACAAAACAAUUAAAUUAUGAGAGCAGCCAACAUUGUAUCAAUUACAAAUCUGAAAAACAGCAGUGCCUCCACCUUAAUAUUCAGGUUUGAAUCUCAAGGCAAAAACUAUCCAGGAUUUGAAUUUCCAGGUAAAAGCUAUCCAGGAAGAAGCAGUCUGUGUGAAGAUGCAAGUGAGUGAGAGAGCUGUGUCAAAAGUUGAAAACAAACCUAACAAAUUCAGCACAGCUUGCAAGGUUGGAGUGUAAAGCUUUUCAUUGAAGACACAAAAUGAGGAAGUAAAAGCAAAAAUGCAUUCUCAUGCUCCCCUGCCCGAUCCUUCCAUCAGCACAACAGCUUUAGCAAAAAAUAAUAUUUGUCAAAUAUAAUCAGCAGCAUCAAGACAUAUUAAAU